GCAAAUAAGACUCUUGACAAUACUCUAGUAUUGACUCAGCCAAAUAUAAAGCAGUUUCUUGAACUUUAUCAACCUUUUAAAAUAGCUAGUGAGAAUUCUUUAAAAAAGAUGGUCGCUCUCUGCACAGAUCGUCAAAAAAAAAACAAUGAGAAGCAAAGAACUCUUAUAAAGUCUGGUCUUCGUCUUUUAGUAUCUCAAAAAAAGGCUAAGCUAGAGGCUCUUCGAAAGCAAAAAUCUAAGUUAACCAAAGAGAGGGAUAUGGAGCUGGUAAAUCUUGUUGAAAAACAAAAACUUACUCUAAAAUCUCGUUUGGAAAGUCUUGGAGAGAAAAUUGAAGAGCUUUCCAUUCAAAAGGAAAAUUUAAUAAAUCAAGAAAGAUUUCAUACGAACCAAGCAAUGAAUAAGCUUACCAAUCAAAGUCUUCUAGAUGGUACUUUCUUAGAAUUUUCAUUCAGUCAACAAACUCUUGUACACGAUCUUGAAAAAA